rnacentral:rRNA from 1 species
AUUGCAGUUGAUACUGGAUAUCUUGAGUGCAGUUGAGGCAGGCGGAAUUCGUGGUGUAGCGGUGAAAUGCUUAGAUAUCACGAAGAACUCCGAUUGCGAAGGCAGCCUGCUAAGCUGCAACUGACAUUGAGGCUCGAAAGUGUGGGUAUCAAACAGGAUUAGAUACCCUGGUAGUCCACACGGUAAACGAUGAAUACUCGCUGUUUGCGAUAUACUGCAAGCGGCCAAGCGAAAGCGUUAAGUAUUCCACCUGGGGAGUACGCCGGCAACGGUGAAACUCAAAGGAAUUGACGGGGGCCCGCACAAGCGGAGGAACAUGUGGUUUAAUUCGAUGAUACGCGAGGAACCUUACCCGGGCUUAAAUUGCAGAUGAAUUACGGUGAAAGCCGUAAGCCGCAAGGCAUCUGUGAAGGUGCUGCAUGGUUGUCGUCAGCUCGUGCCGUGAGGUGUCGGCUUAAGUGCCAUAACGAGCGCAACCCUUGUUGUCAGUUACUAACAGGUUCUGCUGAGGACUCUGACAAGACUGCCAUCGUAAGAUGUGAGGAAGGUGGGGAUGACGUCAAAUCAGCACGGCCCUUACGUCCGGGGCUACACACGUGUUACAAUGGGGGGUACAGAGGGCCGCUACCACGCGAGUGGAUGCCAAUCCCCAAAACCUCUCUCAGUUCGGACUGGAGUCUGCAACCCGACUCCACGAAGCUGGAUUCGCUAGUAAUCGCGCAUCAGCCACGGGAAGGUGAAUACGUUCCCGGGCCUUGUACACACCGCCCGUCAAGCCAUGGGAGCCGGGGGUACCUGAAGUGCGUAACAGGGAGGAGCGCCCUAGGGUAAAACUGGUGA